UCCACGCCGUAAACGAUGGAUACUAGUUGUUGGGAUUUAUCUCAGUGACUAAGCGAAAGUGAUAAGUAUCCCACCUGGGGAGUACGGUCGCAAGACUGAAACUCAAAGGAAUUGACGGGGGCCCGCACAAGCGGUGGAGCAUGUGGUUUAAUUCGAUGAUACGCGAGGAACCUUACCAGGGCUUAAAUGUAGUCUGACAGCUUUAGAGAUAGAGUUUUCUUCGGACAGAUUACAAGGUGCUGCAUGGUUGUCGUCAGCUCGUGCCGUGAGGUGUCAGGUUAAGUCCUAUAACGAGCGCAACCCCUGUCGUUAGUUGCCAGCAUGUUAUGAUGGGGACUCUAACGAGACUGCCUACGCAAGUAGAGAGGAAGGU
rnacentral:rRNA from 1 species